rnacentral:rRNA from 1 species
CCUACGGGUGGCAGCAGUGGGGAAUAUUGGGCAAUGGCGGAAACUCUGACCCAGCAACGCCGCGUGAAUGAUGAAGGUCCUCGGAUUGUUAAGUUCUUUUCUAAGGGAAGAAGAAAGUGACGGUACUUUAGUAAUAAGCCUCGGCUAACUACGUGCCAGCAGCAGCGGUAAUACGUAGGCGGCGAGCGUGAUCCGGAAUUAAUGGGGGUAAAGGGUGCGUAGGUGGUUUGGCAAGUUAGUAGCGUAAUUCCAGGGCUCAAUCUUGGAACUACUACUAAAACUGUUGGACUUGAGUGCAGUAGGGGCAACCGGAAUUACUAGUGUAGCGGUGGAAUGCGUAGAUAUUAGGAAGAACACCAGUGGCGAAGGCAGGUUGCUAGACUGUAACUGACACUGAGGCACGAAAGCGUGGGGAGCAAACAGGAUUAGAUACCCCAGUAGUC